UACGAUAUAACCUUAGGAGCUCAAAAAUUCUAUCACAAUAAAAUUGUCAUGAACAAUCCGGUCCAUCAAUCAUACCAACUUAGGAACUAAGUGCUCUUCGUUACUCAUUCGUAACUAGAACCAACAUAGAUUAUGUAUAUCAAUAUAACCAACGACAUGGAUCAAGUGUAGGUAUGUAGCAUGGAAAUAACAUAAAGUGUGGUCAAUAGAAUGUCUAUUUCCAACUGGUUCUCUUUAUGAGAUCAAUCAUAAACUAUAAGAGUACAAAAACUUUAAAAUGAAUAUCUGCGCAGAUAUAACUGAAUUACUGAAUUUCUUAAUAUAAUGGACAAUACUUAAAUGUACAAUACAAACUCCCACUAAAAUACAUAAUCCUUAUCUGAUUUGACACCCAUACAAUAAUGAACAAUUACAUAAAUGUGCAAUACGAACUCCCACUAAAAUACAUAAUCCUCAUCUGAUUUGACACCCAUACAAGCAAUAUUCUCAUGAAAUACUUUUGGUGUCAAUCCCUUAGUGAGCGGAUCCGCAAGCAUAGAGUUUGUACUAAUGUACUCAAUGCACAAUUGUCCAUUUUGUACUCUUUCGUUAACAACCCGAAAUUUGACGUCC
rnacentral:lncRNA from 1 species